GGGAUUGCCUCAGUAACGGCGAGUGAAGCGGCAACAGCUCAAAUUUGAAAUCUGGUCCCCUCUGGGGGCCCGAGUUGUAAUUUGAAGAGGAUGCUUUUGGCGAGGCGCCUUCCGAGUGCCCUGGAACGGGACGCCACAGAGGGUGAGAGCCCCGUAUGGUAGGACGCCGAGCCUCUGUAAAGCUCCUUCGACGAGUCGAGUAGUUUGGGAAUGCUGCUCAAAAUGGGAGGUAAACCCCUUCUAAAGCUAAAUAUUGGCCAGAGACCGAUAGCGCACAAGUAGAGUGAUCGAAAGAUGAAAAGCACUUUGAAAAGAGAGUUAAACAGCACGUGAAAUUGUUGAAAGGGAAGCGCUUGCGACCAGACUUGCGCCCGUCGGAUCAACCGUCCCUCGUGGGCGGCGCACUCCGGCGGGCUCAGGCCAGCAUCAGUUUUCCCGGGGGGAGAAAGGCGGUGGGAAUGUGGCUCUUCGGAGUGUUAUAGCCCGCCGCGUAAUGCCCUCGGGGGGACUGAGGACCGCGCGUAUGCAAGGAUGCUGGCGUAAUGGUCGUCAGCGACCCGUCUUGAAACACGGACCAAGGAGUCGUCCUAAUAUGCGAGUGUACGGGUGUAAAACCCCUGCGCGUAAUGAAAGUGAACGGAGGUGAGAGCUUCGGCGCAUCAUCGACCGAUCCUGAUGUUCUCGGAUGGAUUUGAGUAAGAGCAUAUUGGGCCGGACCCGAAAGAAGGUGAACUAUGCCUGUAUAGGGUGAAGCCAGAGGAAACUCUGGUGGAGGCUCGCAGCGGUUCUGACGUGCAAAUCGAUCG
rnacentral:rRNA from 2 species